UGUUGACAAAAUCAAGGUGACUUGAUAAUUUGACAGGUCCCCAAAGUAAACAGACCGCUUAUUUACUAAUAUGUUGAUAGGGAAAAUUGCUCUUGCUGCGGAAAAACUCUCAAAAAAUCAUGAAUCAUCAUCAAAACGGCUUAAAAGGGAUAUUAAAAAGCACUCCUCCGGAGCAUCGUCCCACCUGCAGAACGAGACCAUCAACCCAGUCCGGUGCUGUUUUACACCAAAAACCAGAGCGGUGCAAGCGGGUCCCAACGAAAAAGCUGCGUAAUUGAAAACUAAUGUUCAACUAGUAGGGUUAACCAAUCUCAAGGGAUUUCCGUUAGCAAUUAACUUCGGCCAAAAAAAAGUGCUACUGAAAAACUAACAACUCAACAUCGUCCAUCGAGGAGGUCACUAGCAAAAGCCACCACACCAAGCCAGUCCGGUCCGGGACCCACUUGCCUAUUGUACGGAGUGAAAAAGGACAAACUAGAAAAAAAGAAGUAGUACAACAUACUAAUGUCGUUUGCAAGAACAAGCGGCAGGGUUUUAGCUAGCCAUUAACACGAAAUGUUGCUUCCAUGUACACACACACUGCCCCAAAAACCCGGGGAGAUGUAAUGUCCUGUAAACCAUCUCCACCAGCACCAGCAUGUGCUAGAAGCGCACCAACCGUCCCACUCCUUAAGCCGGCUAGUUUCCAUAGUGCAACGGCGUAAAAAUUAAGCUUCUGCAAAUUAAUAUCAAAUGACCUCCGAGCUUCACCCACAACUACCGUCAAUUCUAACUAACACCAGCAAGCAUGUGCAGGUUUAUCACCGGUUUUAGAAGCCUCCCUCUGGUGCGAGGGGAAGAGGCAAAGAAUGGAAAUGGUGUGGCCUCCCCGUUCGGGGUGGAUUAAUUUUCUGUCCCGAAAUCCGUAGCAAUCGUCGUAAUCGGAUAUGCCGCCGGAUGUCUGAUUAGGAAGAGCUUUCAUAGCCACCCGGGAGAAAGGAAGAGGGGGGAGACAGAAAGGCGGACCACCACCGUACCAGGUGGUGGUGGAUACACCCCGGAGCAUAGAACAACGGCUCGAUUUACGCACUCACGCACGCACAAAGCCUUUAGACCGAGUUGGAAGGAGGUAAGA